UCUCUCCGAAAUAGCUUUAGGGCUAGCCUCAAGUGAUGAUUAUUGGAGGUAGAGCACUGUUUGGACGAGGGGCCCCUCUCGGGUUACCGAAUUCAGACAAACUCCGAAUGCCAAUUAAUUUAACUUGGGAGUCAGAACAUGGGUGAUAAGGUCCGUGUUCGAAAGGGAAACAGCCCAGACCACCAGCUAAGGUCCCAAAAUAUAUGUUAAGUGGAAAAGGAUGUGGCGUUGCCCAGACAACUAGGAUGUUGGCUUAGAAGCAGCCAUCAUUUAAAGAGUGCGUAAUAGCUCACUAGUCGAGUGACACUGCGCCGAAAAUGUACCGGGGCUAAACAUAUUACCGAAGCUGUGGAUUGUCCUUUGGACAAUGGUAGGAGAGCGUUCUAAGGGCGUUGAAGCAUGAUCGUAAGGACAUGUGGAGCGCUUAGAAGUGAGAAUGCCGGUGUGAGUAGCGAAAGACGGGUGAGAAUCCCGUCCACCGAUUGACUAAGGUUUCCAGAGGAAGGCUCGUCCGCUCUGGGUUAGUCGGGUCCUAAGCUGAGGCCGACAGGCGUAGGCGAUGGAUAACAGGUUGAUAUUCCUGUACCACCUAUAAUCGUUUUAAUCGAUGGGGGGACGCAGUAGGAUAGGCGAAGCGUGCGAUUGGAUUGCACGUCUAAGCAGUAAGGCUGAGUAUUAGGCAAAUCCGGUACUCGUUAAGGCUGAGCUGUGAUGGGGAGAAGACAUUGUGUCUUCGAGUCGUUGAUUUCACACUGCCGAGAAAAGCCUCUAGAUAGAAAAUAGGUGCCCGUACCGCAAACCGACACAGGUAGUCAAGAUGAGAAUUCUAAGGUGAGCGAGCGAACUCUCGUUAAGGAACUCGGCAAAAUGACCCCGUAACUUCGGGAGAAGGGGUGCUCUUUAGGGUUAACGCCCAGAAGAGCCGCAGUGAAUAGGCCCAAGCGACUGUUUAUCAAAAACACAGGUCUCUGCUAAACCGUAAGGUGAUGUAUAGGGGCUGACGCCUGCCCGGUGCUGGAAGGUUAAGAGGAGUGGUUAGCUUCUGCGAAGCUACGAAUCGAAGCCCCAGUAAACGGCGGCCGUAACUAUAACGGUCCUAAGGUAGCGAAAUUCCUUGUCGGGUAAGUUCCGACCCGCACGAAAGGCGUAACGAUUUGGGCACUGUCUCAACGAGAGACUCGGUGAAAUCAUAGUACCUGUGAAGAUGCAGGUUACCCGCGACAGGACGGAAAGACCCCGUGGAGCUUUACUGUAGCCUGAUAUUGAAAUUCGGCACAGCUUGUACAGGAUAGGUAGGAGCCUUUGAAACGUGAGCGCUAGCUUACGUGGAGGCGCUGGUGGGAUACU
rnacentral:rRNA from 1 species